UGACCCGUGGUGUAAUGGUAACACAGGGGCUUUUGGUGCCCUUAUUGAGGGUUCGAGUCCUUCCGGGUUAACAA
rnacentral:tRNA from 1 species